AAUUCUCGGUAUUUUUUGCUUUUUAAAUUUUCAGUUUCUUAAUUUUCGUUUUUUGAAUUUUCAUUUUUGGUUUUAAAUUUUUAGUUUUUGAAUUUUUGUUUUCAGUUUUUGUUUUUGGAUCUUCGUUUUCACUGUUGUUUGAGUUUGGGUUUUUGGAUCUGUUGUUUUGCUUUGGGUGGGUCUGUUCGUGGGGUUGUUUGGGGAUGGUGGUGCUUUCCGGCUCGUGUGGGGGUUCGGUUGGGUGGGGCUUUGGGUUAGGGUUUCAUCGUCGUCUUCUUCUACUUGCACUCGACAGCUCCUAUGGAGAACUCAUCAAUGGCAGAAUCAAAAUGGAUUUUCUCUCUCCUAUUAAUCUACUUCUUCGUCUCACCCGCCUCACUUUUUGUUGCCAGUGAAGAAGCACAAAAAGAAGAGUUCAAUGAAGAACUGCUACUGAAACCGUUGCCCGAUCGGAAAGUUCUAGCGCAUUUUCACUUCGAUUCAAAAGCUAUUUUUUCCUCCUAUAAUGGCGGACAUCAUUUCCAUCUCUUUCCUAAGCUAAUACUCACUCCUAUUUCACAAUCUAAAAAACUGAAGUUAUGCUCAUGGGGGUGUUGCGAGAUGAUUCACUUGGCAAUAGAUGUUUCUUGUUGGCGGUUUCAGCUACAAAUUAUUGGACAAAACAAAGCAUAGAAAAGGUUUAUGGUCACCUGAAGAAGAUCAAAAUCUAAGAAAUUACAUUCUUCAACAUGGCCAUGGCUGUUGGAGCAGUGUUCCUAUUAAUGCAGGUUUGUUUGGGUUUGAUAGGAUGACUUUGGAAAGGUUGAAGAUUGAAAAUUUGUAUAUUGAAGAAGAAAUGAUUUCUUUCUAAUGUAUUAGAUAGAUUUUUUGUUAUUAUUUAUUUAAGUAAGGUUGUAAAUUAUUCACAAAUUUUGAUUUAUCAUUUCUAUUUAUAUUGUAAUUACUUUUAUUACAUAUAAUAAUAAUUAUAAUUUUUCCUCUA